CAGCCGCCGCGGGAAUACGUAGGUAGCAAGCGUUGUCCGGAAUUAUUGGGCGUAAAGGGCUCGCAGGCGGUUUCUUAAGUCUGAUGUGAAAGCCCCCGGCUCAACCGGGGAGGGUCAUUGGAAACUGGGAAGCUUGAGUGCAGAAGAGGAGAGUGGAAUUCCACGUGUAGCGGUGAAAUGCGUAGAGAUGUGGAGGAACACCAGUGGCGAAGGCGACUCUCUGGUCUGUAACUGACGCUGAGGAGCGAAAGCGUGGGGAGCGUACAGGAUUAGAUACCCCCGUAGUCCCUGUCUCUUAUAC
rnacentral:rRNA from 1 species